UACGUAGGGCGCAAGCGUUGUCCGGGAUUAUUGGGCGUAAAGAGCUCGUAGGCGGUUUGUCGCGUCUGUCGUGAAAGCUUGGGGCUUAACCCCAAGUCUGCGGUGGAUACGGGCAGACUAGAGGCAGGUAGGGGAGAACGGAAUUCCCGGUGUAGCGGUGAAAUGCGCAGAUAUCGGGAGGAACACCGGUGGCGAAGGCGGUUCUCUGGGCCUGUACUGACGCUGAGGAGCGAAAGCGUGGGGAGCGAACAGG
rnacentral:rRNA from 1 species